rnacentral:rRNA from 1 species
GCGCACGGGUGCGGAACACGUGUGCAACCUGCCUUUAUCUGGGGGAUAGCCUUUCGAAAGGAAGAUUAAUACCCCAUAAUAUAUUGAGUGGCAUCACUUGAUAUUGAAAACUCCGGUGGAUAGAGAUGGGCACGCGCAAGAUUAGAUAGUUGGUGAGGUAACGGCUCACCAAGUCAAUGAUCUUUAGGGGGCCUGAGAGGGUGAUCCCCCACACUGGUACUGAGACACGGACCAGACUCCUACGGGAGGCAGCAGUGAGGAAUAUUGGACAAUGGGUGAGAGCCUGAUCCAGCCAUCCCGCGUGAAGGACGACUGCCCUAUGGGUUGUAAACUUCUUUUAUACUGGGAUAAACCUACCCUUCGUGAGGGUAGCUGAAGGUACAGUAUGAAUAAGCACCGGCUAAUUCCGUGCCAGCAGCCGCGGUAAUACGGAGGGUGCAAGCGUUAUCCGGAUUUAUUGGGUUUAAAGGGUCCGUAGGCGGACUCGUAAGUCAGUGGUGAAAUCUCAUAGCUUAACUAUGAAACUGCCAUUGAUACUGCGGGUCUUGAGUAAAGUAGAAGUGGCUGGAAUAAGUAGUGUAGCGGUGAAAUGCAUAGAUAUUACUUAGAACACCAAUUGCGAAGGCAGGUCACUAUGUUUUAACUGACGCUGAUGGACGAAAGCGUGGGGAGCGAACAGGAUUAGAUACCCUGGUAGUCCACGCCGUAAACGAUGCUAACUCGUUUUUGGGUUUUCGGAUUCAGAGACUAAGCGAAAGUGAUAAGUUAGCCACCUGGGGAGUACGUUCGCAAGAAUGAAACUCAAAGGAAUUGACGGGGGCCCGCACAAGCGGUGGAUUAUGUGGUUUAAUUCGAUGAUACGCGAGGAACCUUACCAAGGCUUAAAUGGGAAUUGACAGGUUUAGAAAUAGAUCCUUCUUCGGACAAUUUUCAAGGUGCUGCAUGGUUGUCGUCAGCUCGUGCCGUGAGGUGUUAGGUUAAGUCCUGCAACGAGCGCAACCCCUGUCACUAGUUGCCAUCAUUCAGUUGGGGACUCUAGUGAGACUGCCUACGCAAGUAGAGAGGAAGGUGGGGAUGACGUCAAAUCAUCACGGCCCUUACGCCUUGGGCCACACACGUAAUACAAUGGCCGGUACAGAGGGCAGCUACUAUGCGAAUAGAUGCGAAUCUCGAAAGCCGGUCUCAGUUCGGAUUG